rfam:Bacteroidales bacterium 36-12 SCNpilot_bf_inoc_scaffold_1092, whole genome shotgun sequence.
UUGUUGGUGACAACAGCAGUGAAGGGGGAGAGAGUGCAGAAAUGUCCUGUGGACGUUUCGAAGUGAUUGACCCGACCGAAGGUCAGACUGCAAAAUCCGGUACUGACGAACAGAAACGGUAUAUGAGGCAUAUCUGUUUUGGGUAAGCAACCCCAUCCUUGUAACGCCCAAACUGGUUAUUUGAGGGCAGGUAUGUAGAUGCCGCAGUGAUUGGAUGAAGGAAAAAGCU